CGCCUCUUGAGUUUUCAUAAGAGGUCCAGCCUGCCCAGUGACCCUGUUCAACGGCCGCGGUAUCCUAACCGUGCGAAGGUAGCGUAAUCACUUGUUCUCUAAAUGUGGACUAGUAUGAAUGGCAUCACGAAGGUUACACUGUCUCCUUUUUCUAAUCAGUGAAACUAAUCUCCCCAUGAAGAAGCGGGGAUGAAGCUAUAAGACGAGAAGACCCUAUGGAGCUUAAAACAGUACAGCAUCUGCCCCAUAACACAUAAAUUUCUGAAUGAAGACUCUACUGGACAGCAUGACUGCGAGUUUUUGGUUGGGGUGACCACGGAGCACAGUACAACCUCCAUGCUGAAAGAAAAUUUCUAAGCUAAGAUCUACAAACCUAAGCAUCAAUAUAUUGACAUCCAUUGACCCAAUACACUUGAACAACGAACCA
rnacentral:rRNA from 1 species